rnacentral:rRNA from 1 species
GCGCAAUAGGGGAAACUCCGAUGCAGCGACGCCGCGUGAGUGAUGAAGGCCUUCGGGUUGUAAAGCUCUUUUCUGGGGGAAGAGAAAGGACGGUACCUAAAGAAUAAGCUCUGGCUAUCCCCGUGCCAGCAGCCGCGGUAAUACGUAGGCCGCGCGCCUUGUCCGGAUUUACUGGGCGUAAAGGAUGUGUAAUUGGUUGGGCAAGUUGGAGUUGAAACCCCUCGGUUCAACCCGGGGAAGCCCUCCGGUCCUUCACGGCUUAAGGGCAGCAGAGGUAGGUGGAAUUCCCGGUGUAGCGGUGAAAUGCGUAGAGAUUGGGAGGAACAUCAGUGGCGAAGGCGGCCUCCUGGGCUG